UGGGGAAUAUUGGACAAUGGACCAAAAGUCUGAUCCAGCAAUUCUGUGUGCACGAUGAAGGUCUUCGGAUUGUAAAGUGCUUUCAGGUGGGAAGAAGAAAGUGACGGUACCACCAGAAGAAGCGACGGCUAAAUACGUGCCAGCAGCCGCGGUAAUACGUAUGUCGCAAGCGUUAUCCGGAAUUAUUGGGCGUAAAGCGAGUCUAGGCGGCUUGUUAAGUCAGAUGUGAAAAUGCGGGGCUCAACUCCGUAUUGCGUUUGAAACUGGCAGGCUAGAGUACUGGAGAGGUGGGCGGAACUACAAGUGUAGAGGUGAAAUUCGUAGAUAUUUGUAGGAAUGCCGAUAGUGAACGAC
rnacentral:rRNA from 1 species